AAUCCGUUGUGUGUACAAUCACGCUCAUAUUCCUUAAAACGCUUCCAGGCUUCAUAGAAAGAUUCGACCGGACCUUGCUGGAAACUUUUGAUCUUGUUUCUCAGUAG
rfam:Eutrema salsugineum unplaced genomic scaffold scaffold_9, whole genome shotgun sequence.